rnacentral:rRNA from 1 species
CCCUUAGAGUUUGAUCCUGGCUCAGGAUGAACGCUAGCUACAGGCUUAACACAUGCAAGUCGAGGGGCAGCAUGUUGGUUGCUUGCAACCGAUGAUGGCGACCGGCGCACGGGUGAGUAACGCGUAUCCAACCUACCCUUGUCCAUCGGAUAACCCGUCGAAAGGCGGCCUAACACGAUAUGCGGUUCACCGCAGGCAUCUAACGUGAACGAAAUGUGAAGGAGAAGGAUGGGGAUGCGUCUGAUUAGCUUGUUGGCGGGGUAACGGCCCACCAAGGCUACGAUCAGUAGGGGUUCUGAGAGGAAGGUCCCCCACAUUGGAACUGAGACACGGUCCAAACUCCUACGGGAGGCAGCAGUGAGGAAUAUUGGUCAAUGGACGAGAGUCUGAACCAGCCAAGUAGCGUGCAGGAUGACGGCCCUAUGGGUUGUAAACUGCUUUUAUAGGGGGAUAAAGUGUGCCACGUGUGGCAUAUUGCAGGUACCCUAUGAAUAAGGACCGGCUAAUUCCGUGCCAGCAGCCGCGGUAAUACGGAAGGUCCAGGCGUUAUCCGGAUUUAUUGGGUUUAAAGGGAGCGUAGGCCGUUUGGUAAGCGUGUUGUGAAAUGUCGGGGCUCAACCUGGGCAUUGCAGCGCGAACUGCCAGACUUGAGUGCGCAGGAAGUAGGCGGAAUUCGUCGUGUAGCGGUGAAAUGCUUAGAUAUGACGAAGAACUCCGAUUGCGAAGGCAGCCUGCUGUAGCGCAACUGACGCUGAAGCUCGAAAGCGUGGGUAUCGAACAGGAUUAGAUACCCUGGUAGUCCACGCGGUAAACGAUGGAUGCUCGCUGUUUGCGUCUGACGUAAGCGGCCAAGCGAAAGCGUUAAGCAUCCCACCUGGGGAGUACGCCGGCAACGGUGAAACUCAAAUGAAUUGACGG